rnacentral:rRNA from 1 species
GAGUUUGAUCAUGGCUCAGAACGUACGCUGGCGGCACGCCUAACACAUGCAAGUCGAACGAAGUAGCAAUACUUAGUGGCAGACGGGUGAGUAACAUGUAGGUAUCUACCCUUUGGCCUGGAAUAACACGAGGAAACUUGUGCUAAUACCGGAUAAGUCUUUACGGAGAAAGCUUUAUGCACCAUUGGAUGAGCCUGCACUUGAUUAGUUUGUUGGUGGGGUAAUGGCCUACCAAGACUGUGAUCAAUAGCUGAUUUGAGAGGAUGAUCAGCCACAUUGGGACUGAGACACGGCCCAAACUCCUACGGGAGGCAGCAGUGGGGAAUCUUGCACAAUGGAGGAAACUCUGAUGCAGCGAUGCCGCGUGAGUGAAGAAGGCCCUUGGGUUGUAAAGCUCUUUCGUCGGGGAAGAAAAUGACUGUACCCGAAUAAGAAGGUCCGGCUAACUUCGUGCCAGCAGCCGCGGUAAUACGAAGGGACCUAGCGUAGUUCGGAAUUACUGGGCUUAAAGAGUUCGUAGGUGGUUAAAAAAGUUGGUGGUGAAAUCCCAGAGCUUAACUCUGGAACUGCCAUCAAAACUUUUUAGCUAGAGUAUGAUAGAGGAAAGCAGAAUUUCUAGUGUAGAGGUGAAAUUCGUAGAUAUUAGAAAGAAUACCAAUUGCGAAGGCAGCUUUCUGGAUCAUUACUGACACUGAGGAACGAAAGCAUGGGUAGCGAAGAGGAUUAGAUACCCUCGUAGUCCAUGCCGUAAACGAUGUGUGUUAGACGUUGGAAAUUUAUUUUCAGUGUCGCAGCCGAAAGCAAUAAACACACCGCCUGGGGAGUACGACCGCAAGGUUAAAACUCAAAUGAAUUGACGGGGACCCGCACAAGUAGUGGAGCAUGUGGUUUAAUUCGAAGAUACGCGCAGAACCUUACCAACACUUGACAUGUUCGUCGCGACUCUAAGAGAUUAGAGUUUUCGGUUCGGCCGGACGAAACACAGGUGCUGCAUGGCUGUCGUCAGCUCGUGUCGUGAGAUGUUGGGUUAAGUCCCGCAACGAGCGCAACCCUCACUUUUAGUUGCCAUCAUUAAGUUGGGCACUCUGAAAGAACUGCCAGUGAUAAGCUGGAGGAAGGUGGGGAUGACGUCAAGUCCUCAUGGCCCUUACGUGUUGGGCUACACACGUGCUACAAUGGCAUUUACAAUAGGAAGCAAAACGGCGACGUUAAGCAAAUCCUAAAAAAAUGCCUCAGUUCGGAUUGUACUCUGCAACUCGAGUACAUGAAGCUGGAAUUACUAGUAAUCGCGAUCAGCGUGCCACGGUGAAUACGUUCCCGGGUCUUGUACACACCGCCCGUCACACCAUGGGAGUUGGUUCUACCUUAAGGCAAAGCUUAAAACCUUUGACCACGGUAUAGUCAGCGACUGGGGUGAAGUCGUAACAAGGUAGCCGUAGGGGAACCUGCGGCUGGAUUACCUCCU